rnacentral:lncRNA from 1 species
AAAUCACAUUUGACGAGAGACCCACAAAAGCUUCUUCUAUGCUCCUCGGGACUAUUCAUGGCGGAAAGGCGCCAAAUUUUCAGCAACCUUCGUGAGAAAUUGGGUUAACCAUGGUGCUGGCUGAUACAAAUAUUGAUUAAUUGUUCAUUGGUAGAGAUUGGAGAAGAACGAUGGAGGAUUGCAUUCUCCCGCAGCUAGUGAACUCAGUUGAGAUUCCGAGGUCAAUUCUUCACGGUAACUCGCUUUGCUCUCAUAGUUCGUGAGUUCUGAUUUGGAGAUUUUUUGAGCUAUUGUGAAUUGUUUGCUAAGACUAGACAAGGGUCUUAGAGAAUAUUUUAUUGUAAAAGAUUAUGAUUUUUUAAUUGUUUUUGGACCUUUUUUUUGUUGUUGUUCUCAGCUAUUUCCUGCUAUAACGACUCCAAAGUAAUGAUACUGCGUAGGAUUGAUCCUAUAAAAUGUUCCAAUCUGUUUCAGACUGUAAAAUUUGUUGUUCACCAAACGAAAAAAAAAAAAAAAAAUAUAAAGAAGAAUUUUCACUCUCUUGCUGCCUAGCCUGAGCCGUUACAAGGACACAGGAAACUUUUACGUUUGUGUUUAUACAGUUCUAGGUUUUGGCAGUGCUGAUGCUCUAAUGGUACCUUUGAGGACUCCCUAUUUCCUUUGACUUAGAGAGUUGGAUGGGAGAUGAUUGUGUUGUUUUUGUUGUUGUCUUUUGGAAUAUUCUCUGUCCUGGGGCUAGAAUCGCUAGAGGGUCGUAAACAUGUUUCCUUUCUGCAAAUGUUUCCCAUCUUUUGCCAAAGUGUGAUUUCCACUCUUGUUGAGUUUCAUAAUGGGGCAAAUACUGCUUCACAUGGAGAUUUGCCGCUCUGCAGAAGUUCAUAACUCUUUGGUUUUGUUUCAAUAGGUACUCCAAAUCAUUUUUUCCUGAGGAAUUUGGCACUGCAGAGGGGAGAAAGGCCACGAGAUAGAAGACAUCUUCAUUUGGAGCUAUCAAAGAUGUAUGUUUGAUCCACCUGCAACCAAAAACAUGUUGGAGAUGGUUAGUAAUUUUAUGUUUAUGAAUCAAUGUAAGCAUAUAUGGUUUUGGCAUUUUGCUCAUUUACUUGGAUUGAUUGACUGGAUAUAUAAGGAUAGGUCCGUUGUUGUUGCUUCUGAUAAUGUUGUUGAAAACCUCUGUAGCAAAUCUAAAUAUGCUGCUUUUGGGAAUCAGGAGAUUCAGCCAGGGAUGUGGAACCUCCCAUAAACCCUUUGCUCUCAGUUUUCUCUCCGCAAUAUGCACUCGAUCCAGAAACUCAAUGUAUGGCACUU